rnacentral:rRNA from 1 species
AGAUUGAACGCUGGCGGCAUGCCUUACACAUGCAAGUCGAACGGCAGCACGGGAGCAAUCCUGGUGGCGAGUGGCGAACGGGUGAGUAAUACAUCGGAACGUGCCCAAUCGUGGGGGAUAACGCAGCGAAAGCUGUGCUAAUACCGCAUAAGAUCUACGGAUGAAAGCGAGGGGAUCGCAAGACCUUGCGCGAAUGGAGCGGCCGAUGGCAGAUUAGGUAGUUGGUGAGGUAAGGCUACACAAGCCUUCGAUCUGUAGCUGGUC